GUGCAGUUUGCGAUCUCUUGCCCAGAAUAAAACCUGCAAGGCACAUUUUAGUCAGCAAAAGCUGUUUUGAAAUGUAAAAAUUGAUUAAGAACAGACUGUGCUCAGGAGGUCUCUCUCAGGGUCACGCGGACGUGUGGGACUCGAUGCAGAAAAACUUUAUUGCUGGAUAGAGCGUUGUAUUGUGUAUCAUCGGAGCUGUAGCCAAAGACUUCUUCAACGGCAAGAUAAAGAUGGAAAUUGUGAACCAGAUCAAGGAAGUCGAGAGGAUGGGAAAAAAGAACAUAUUGUUUUCCUCCUCAAUCAAAGCCCCGCGUUCUUCGACAAAGCACGCACUGAAAAUGCUUUUAAAGACUUUCCUGAAAGGUCCCUUCAGAAGAAAUCUCUAAAUCAUGUAGAAAAAAAUGACGCAGUCAGAAACUUGGUGCAUCCAGAAAAGGGUAAAGAUGGUUUAAAAUUAUUUGUUUUAUGAGAUGC
rnacentral:lncRNA from 1 species